rnacentral:rRNA from 1 species
AGCAGCCGCGGUAAUUCCAGCUCCAAUAGCGUAUAUUAAAGUUGUUGCAGUUAAAAAGCUCGUAGUUGAAUUUCGGGGUUAGUAGGUCGGUCAUGCCACUGGUAUGUACUGGUCUCACUGAUUCCUCCUUCCUGAUGAACCGUAAUGCCAUUAAUUUGGUGUUGCGGGGAGACUGGACUGUUACUUUGAAAAAAUUAGAGUGUUUAAAGCAGGCUAACGCUUGAAUACAUUAGCAUGGAAUAAUGAAAUAGGACGUUCGAUCCUAUUUUGUUGGUUUCUAGGAUUGACGUAAUGGUUAAUAGGGAUAGUUGGGGGCAUUAGUAUUCAAUUGUCAGAGGUGAAAUUCUUGGAUUUAUUGAAGACUAACUACUGCGAAAGCAUUUGCCAAGGAUGUUUUCAUUAAUCAAGAACGAAAGUUAGGGGAUCGAAGACGAUCAGAUACCGUCGUAGUCUUAACCAUAAACUAUGCCGACUAGGGAUCGGAUGAUGUUGAUUUUUUAAUUGACUCAUUCGGCGCCUU